rnacentral:rRNA from 1 species
UUGGGCAUAAUGCAGUCGAGCGGACAGAUGGGAGCUUGCUCCCUGAUGUUAGCGGCGGACGGGUGAGUAACACGUGGGUAACCUGCCUGUAAGACUGGGAUAACUCCGGGAAACCGGGGCUAAUACCGGAUGGUUGUUUGAACCGCAUGGUUCAAACAUAAAAGGUGGCUUCGGCUACCACUUACAGAUGGACCCGCGGCGCAUUAGCUAGUUGGUGAGGUAACGGCUCACCAAGGCAACGAUUCGUAGCCGACCUGAGAGGGUGAUCGGCCACACUGGGACUGAGACACGGCCCAGACUCCUACGGGAGGCAGCAGUAGGGAAUCUUCCGCAAUGGACGAAAGUCUGACGGAGCAACGCCGCGUGAGUGAUGAAGGUUUUCGGAUCGUAAAGCUCUGUUGUUAGGGAAGAACAAGUACCGUUCGAAUAGGGCGGUACCUUGACGGUACCUAACCAGAAAGCCACGGCUAACUACGUGCCAGCAGCCGCGGUAAUACGUAGGUGGCAAGCGUUGUCCGGAAUUAUUGGGCGUAAAGGGCUCGCAGGCGCUUUCUUAAGUCUGAUGUGAAAGCCCCCGGCUCAACCGGGGAGGGUCAUUGGAAACUGGGGAACUUGAGUGCAGAAGAGGAGAGUGGAAUUCCACGUGUAGCGGUGAAAUGCGUAGAGAUGUGGAGGAACACCAGUGGCGAAGGCGACUCUCUGGUCUGUAACUGACGCUGAGGAGCGAAAGCGUGGGGAGCGAACAGGAUUAGAUACCCUGGUAGUCCACGCCGUAAACGAUGAGUGCUAAGUGUUAGGGGGUUUUCGCCCCUUAGUGCUGCAGCUAACGCAUUAAGCACUCCGCCUGGGGAGUACGGUCGCAAGACUGAAACUCAAAGGAAUUGACGGGGGCCCGCACAAGCGGUGGAGCAUGUGGUUUAAUUCGAAGCAACGCGAAGAACCUUACCACCCGU